CCUUGGUGACCGAUAGUGGAUGAGUACCGUGAGGGAAGGGUGAAAAGUACCCCGGGAGGGGAGUGAAAGAGUUCCUGAAACCGGUCGCAUGCAAGCCGUCAGAGCCUGUGUGGUGAUGGCGUGCCUUUUGAAGAAUGAGCCUGCGAGUUAGUGAUGCGUGGCGAGGUUAACCCGUGGUGGGGGAGUCGUAGCGAAAGCGAGUCCGAUAAGGGCGUGAGUCGCGUGUUCUAGACCCGAAGCGGUGUGAUCUAUCCAUGGCCAGGAUGAAGCGUCGGUAAGACGUCGUGGAGGUCCGAACCCACUUCAGUUGAAAAUGGAGGGGAUGAGUUGUGGAUAGGGGUGAAAGGCCAAUCAAACACCGUGAUAGCUGGUUCUCCCCGAAAUGCAUUUAGGUGCAGCGUUGCGUGGUUCUUGUUGGAGGUAGAGCACUGGAUGGUCUAGGGGGCUUAUCGGCUUACCGAAAUCAGCCAAACUCCGAAUGCUGGCAAGUGUAGCGUGGCAGUGAGACGGCGGGGGAUAAGCUUCGUCGUCGAGAGGGAAACAGCCCAGAUCAUCAGCUAAGGCCCCUAAGUGGUGACUCAGUGGGAAAGGAUGUGGAGUUGCGUAGACAACCAGGAGGUUGGCUUGGAAGCAGCCAUCCUUGAAAGAGUGCGUAAUAGCUCACUGGUCAAGUGAUUCCGCGCCGAUAAUGUAGCGGGGCUUAAGUUAUCCGCCGAAGCUGUGGCAACCUGUGUGGUUGGGUAGGGGAGCGUCGUGUCAGUGGUGAAGCUGCCGGGUGACUGUGUGGUGGAGUUGAUGCGAGUGAGAAUGCAGGCAUGAGUAGCGUGUGACGGGUGGGAAUCCCGUCCGCCGAUUAUCCAAGGGUUCCAGGGUCAAGUUUGUCUGCCCUGGGUGAGUCGGGUCCUAAGGCGAGGCCGACAGGCGUAGUCGAUGGGUAACCAGUUGAUAUUCUGGUACCGGCUUGUCACCGUCCGUGUCGAGGUGUGUGAUGCUAAGCAUGUGAGCUUGUCUUGGGAGUGUUUUUGAUGCUUCUGGGGUGGGUGAGUGUGUGAACCGAUCAUGUAGUAGGCAAGCUGCGGAGGGACGCAGUGAGGUAGCUCAUCCCCGGUGAUGGUUGUCCGGGGCUAAGUGUGUGGACUGUCUGGUAGGUAAAUCCGCUGGGCGUGAAGGUUGAGGCAUGAUGGGGAGCCCAUGGUUGUGGGUGAGUGAGUGAUCCUGUACUGUCGAGAAAAGCUUCGUGAGCGAGGUGGCGGGUCCGCCCGUACCCUAAACCGACACUGGUGGAUAGGUAGAGUAUACCGAGGCGAUCGAGUGAAUCGUGGUGAAGGAACUCGGCAAAAUGCCCCCGUAACUUUGGGAUAAGGGGGACCUGAGCUGUCGUGCACCCGUGCGGUGUGGUGGCGGUGAGGGGCGCAGAGUCCAGGGGGAAACGACUGUUUACCAAAAACACAGGUCCGUGCGAAGUCGUAAGACGAUGUAUACGGACUGACUCCUGCCCGGUGCUGGAAGGUUAAGGGGAACUGUGAGUGUAUGCGUAGCGGUGAACUUAAGCCCCAGUAAACGGCGGUGGUAACUAUAACCAUCCUAAGGUAGCGAAAUUCCUUGUCGGGUAAGUUCCGACCUGCACGAAUGGAGUAACGAUUUCCCUACUGUCUCCACCAUGAACUCGGUGAAAUUGCAUUACGAGUAAAGAUGCUCGUUACGCGCAGCAGGACGGAAAGACCCCGGGACCUUUACUAUAGUUUGGUAUUGGUGAUUGGGACGGUUUGUGUAGGAUAGGUGGGAGACGUUGAUGCGGCCACGCUAGUGGUGGUGGAGUCGUUGGUGAAAUACCACUCUGAUUGUUCUGGUUAUCUCACUGUGGACCGUGAUCCGGUUCAAGGACAGUGCCUGAUGGGUAGUUUGACUGGGGCGGUCGCCUCCUAAAGGGUAACGGAGGCGCCCAAAGGUUCCCUCAGCCUGGUUGGUAAUCAGGUGGUGAGUGUAAGUGCACAAGGGGGCUUGACUGUGAGACUGACAGGUCGAGCAGGGACGAAAGUCGGGACUAGUGAUCUGACGGUGGCUUGUGGAUGCGCCGUCACUCAACGGAUAAAAGGUACCCCGGGGAUAACAGGCUGAUCUUGCCCGAGCGCUCAUAGCGACGGCAUGGUUUGGCACCUCGAUGUCGGCUCGUCGCAUCCUGGGGCUGGAGUCGGUCCCAAGGGUUGGGCUGUUCGCCCAUUAAAGCGGCACGCGAGCUGGGUUCAGAACGUCGUGAGACAGUUCGGUCCCUAUCCGCUGCGCGCGGAGGAA
rnacentral:rRNA from 1 species